UGAACGCUGGCGGUAGGCCUAACACAUGCAAGUCGAACGGCAGCACAGUAAGAGCUUGCUCUUACGGGUGGCGAGUGGCGGACGGGUGAGGAAUACAUCGGAAUCUACUUUUUCGUGGGGGAUAACGUAGGGAAACUUACGCUAAUACCGCAUACGACCUACGGGUGAAAGCAGGGGAUCUUCGGACCUUGCGCGAUUGAAUGAGCCGAGGUCGGAUUAGCUAGUUGGCGGGGUGAAGGCCCACCAAGGCGACGAUCCGUAGCUGGUCUGAGAGGAUGAUCAGCCACACUGGAACUGAGACACGGUCCAGACUCCUACGGGAGGCAGCAGUGGGGAAUAUUGGACAAUGGGCGCAAGCCUGAUCCAGCCAUACCGCGUGGGUGAAGAAGGCCUUCGGGUUGUAAAGCCCUUUUGUUGGGAAAGAAAAGCAGCAGGUUAAUACCCCGCUGUUCUGACGGUACCCAAAGAAUAAGCACCGGCUAACUUCGUG
rnacentral:rRNA from 1 species